UGCCCAGAUCAGCGCCUGAUAUAUACUUGGCACACAAUAACCACUCUUGAAAUUCAUGAAGGAAUCUGGACAUUUAGGGGGUUCACAGAAUCCGCCGCUUUUAGGGAAGAUUCUCUGCCUGAUGUGUGAGCGCUCUAACCUCUUCAUCUGUGUUCAGUCCCCUUGCAAUGCUUCUCUAAGAUCAAUAAAGGCAAAAACCAGGAGAUCCCAUAAAUCCCGCUGAGCCUGUCAUAGCUAUCAAAUUAUACCCAGAUAAAGCUUCUGGUGGCUAAUGACAUGGCCAUCACCCAGCGUGGACGUGGGCAGGAGGGGCUCUCCGGGAGCAUCUGGUCUGCUGUGGAGACACUUGUCAUCUGGAGGCUCUGUGGCUCUAAUGGAGGGUGAUGCUUUGAACGCGACUAUCUCCC
rnacentral:lncRNA from 1 species